UACGUAAGGACCGAGCGUUGUCCGGAAUCAUUGGGCGUAAAGGGUACGUAGGCGGUUAGAAAAGUUAAAAGUGAAAGGGUAUAGCUCAACUAUAGAAAGCCUUUGAAACUGUUUAACUUGAGAGAUGGAAAGGAAAGUGGAAUUCCUAGUGUAGCGGUAAAAUGCGUAGAUAUUAGGAGGAAUACCGGUGGCGAAGGCGACUUUCUGGCCA
rnacentral:rRNA from 1 species